rnacentral:rRNA from 1 species
GACGAACGCUGGCGGCGUGCCUAAUACAUGCAAGUAGAACGCUGAAGGAGGAGCUUGCUUCUCUGGAUGAGUUGCGAACGGGUGAGUAACGCGUAGGUAACCUGCCUGGUAGCGGGGGAUAACUAUUGGAAACGAUAGCUAAUACCGCAUAACAGUAGAUGUUGCAUGACAUUUGCUUAAAGGGUGCAAUUGCAUCACUACCAGAUGGACCUGCGUUGUAUUAGCUAGUUGGUGGGGUAACGGCUCACCAAGGCGACGAUACAUAGCCGACCUGAGAGGGUGAUCGGCCACACUGGGACUGAGACACGGCCCAGACUCCUACGGGAGGCAGCAGUAGGGAAUCUUCGGCAAUGGACGGAAGUCUGACCGAGCAACGCCGCGUGAGUGAAGAAGGUUUUCGGAUCGUAAAGCUCUGUUGUAAGAGAAGAACGGGUGUGAGAGUGGAAAGUUCACACUG